UUCGGUCCCUAACCGUACGGUUUUUCCCGACUUCCGAUGUAAACAAGGUAAAAACGAAACAUUGAAACGAGGUAUACAGAUUCUUAGUAAAGUUAUUGCAAAAAAUGAAGUUUUAUUCCUUCAAAUGCUACUGCUGAAUUUGAUACCUUGCAAUCUAUGAAACAAAUGAUUACUAUGAACUGCUUUAUAGCACCAAAGAAAAGGCAUGGAAUUGAAGUGAACUAGAUAAGUGAAAAGCAGCAACCACUGGAGCCUGGAGCACAAGCGACCUGGAUACCAUUGACUGCAGUGAUCUUUAAUAUUAACUUAGCAAACAGAAUUUGAGGUAUGAGUGAGCAUUCUCCUGCCCCUACAUCUACAAGAAGUGUAUAUCAUCUGCAAUGAUUGAAUGACAAAUUAAAUUUAGAAGACUUUGAUUAUAUUAACUGUAUUUUUACAAAUUCAAGUAAGAAAUUAGUUUUGUAACAAAUUUAAAAGAACUGUGUGUCAGAUUAACAAUUUUCAAGAAUUAGUUUGAAGAUAUAAUAUAAUAGCUGACUUCUAUGAAAAGCAACAUGAUUUUCAAACAAAUUGGAUGGUGAAAAUCUUAAGAUACUUAUGAGAUCAUUUAUGUGAGCUGAGUGUUGUGAAAUCUGUUGAAAUUCUCUACUGAAUUCAAGAGCUAUUUUGAAGAUAUAACAUUAUAGCUGACGUGUAUGAAAAGCAACGUGAUUUUCAAAAAAAUUGAAUGUUGAAAAAUCUUAAUAUACUUGUAAGAUCAUUCAUGUGAGCUGAGUAUUUGAAAUCUGUUAAAAUUCUCUACUUGUGAAAAUAUGUUUCCUUGCGAUAUGUGUCCCAAAGAAUUUUCUAAAAGAAAAUACCUCAAUACACAUAAGCGUAUCCAUAGCGAAGAAAGGCCUUACUCUUGCCUGGUUUGUGAGAAGUCUUUUCGGGCCAAGAUGACUCUUAGACGUCACAUGGUCACUCAUACGGGCGAACGGCCGUAUCGUUGCGAAUUUUGUUCAAAAGCAUUUUCUCGGAAAGCAGAUCGAAAUAUACACUCUAGAAUUCACACGGGCGCAAGACCAUAUUUUUGUACCAUUUGCACAGGUACAUUCCCUACAAGCGCAAGGCUUAAAUUACAUCUUCGGAUCCACACAGAUGAAAAGCCUUUUUCAUGCGAACAUUGUCCAAAAACAUUCCAUCGACUAGGAGAACUGAAGGAACAUUCAAGAGUCCAUACGGGGGAGAAACCGUUUUCAUGUCAAGUUUGUUCGAAGACAUUUUCUAGCUCCGGAUAUAUUAAAGUGCACAUGAGAUUCCAUACUGGAGAGAAACCAUUUGUUUGUGAAAUCUGCUCAAAAGCUUUUGUUCGGAAACAACGACUCAAUGAACAUAUGGUGGCAAUCCACAGGCAGACAUAAAUCUAUAUUUUUCUGUUAAUGGAAAGUUUUCAUGACAGAUAAUAACAUAAACAAUUUCUUCUUCAGAAGCAUUAAGACAUGCAAUUCAUUAAUCUGUUGGCUUUUAUGUAUUAAAUCUAUUUUCUCUUGUA